CUCUGGUUCAAUAGCAUUUCAUUUAAACCAAUCAGAAUAGUCAUGAGCGGUGCUAAACUCCUUACAGAGCCGCUGCAAAAUAGUUGUGCGAGAGAAAACUCUCUGGACAGAUAGUCUAGCUAGCUGUCUCAAUUUACCCUGCAGAGAUCUGAGGAGCAGUUAACCAUAGUCCUCAGAAAUCCACCGAAUUUAAAAUUCCAGCACAAAAAAAGUGGAAGGAAACAUCCGGCGGAAUUUCCUGCAGCACC